AUUCGAUCUGGUUGAUGGAUUUGUAUUUGUUUUUUUUUUGUGAAAUAUUUUUUUAAAGCCGUUGAAACUGUUUUAACUGGUGCUGGGCCAAGUUUUGUGUAUCAAUUGAAUUGCUUGGGUGUUGAUCAAACGUGUGUUGAGGUGAAUCGAGCUUGGGGAAAGGAAAGGCAUGUCGAUAUUUGCGAAAAUGAUGCUUUCGUCUAAUCAAUUUGAAACGCGCCCUGUUUGCGUGAUCCAAUCUAAUAACUUCAAGGACAUCUAACGGUAACACAGAUGGAGAUCCAUACAGUAUGAAGAUGAACACAGAUGAAGAUCCAUACAGUAUAAUGACUUUUGAAACAACGGAACCACUCAAGAAGACAGAAGGAAAAGGGUGGCUCAUCUCGCACCUAAAAACAAAACGAUGGGCGUGUGCAGUAUCCCGUUUCAAGAAGGGUUUAGGAAAUGUACGUUAUGAAUGGACCAAGCAAGUACAGGACUAAACGUCCAGUUGUACAAGCCGAACGCAAUCGAGUAGGAGAGAAGAUGGACAGGCGCAACAGGCACUACAAAAAAAGCAAAAAAAAAAACAAAAAAGUACAUAUAAAAAAUAAGAAGAACAUGCAUCGCAGUAGCGUAGCUGUGAAUGGGAGUUUAAAUAAAUAACGUACGGAAGUGCUCCGGCAAGAAAUCCAAAAUUAACAACGAGCGAAUUCUCUUUUUUAUUUUCCGAAAUCAGCCAAUGAUG